rnacentral:tRNA from 1 species
UGCUAAUUAGGAUAAAUAGUCUAAGGGGUUCAUACCCUCAAGGUUCUCAAUGAGAAUUAGCUU